rnacentral:lncRNA from 1 species
UACAUUUCUUCAGCUUUCUUCCUCAGUCAAAACCCCCAAAAUUUUCCCAAUACAUAAAGAAGCUGGUUCUCUUUGGACUCUCCUUCAUCUUCCUCCUCCGACAUUUGAAAGUAGUCGUUUCCUUUUCUCCUGAUCGCCUUUCUCUUCUCUCAUUAAAAUCUGUCCUGGACUAACCUUCAGGCUGGUCAGUCUUCACCGACUGGAAUGAAA